CACUGUACUGCCACCACCCAAACUGACAACUGUUCCUACUGUCCCUGAGGGGGUCAUGGUAAGCGUCCAUUGGCUUCCCAAGAGCCACAUGAGAUAUAAAAGCAAUUCUUCCCAUGUGUCUUUCAAGGUGUCAGCAGGAGUCAAGGACACUUCAAAGAGUCAUGCUCUGGCCGUGGCAAGCCAGGUACCAGGAAGGUUAAAUCACCUGUGAAAGGAAAGCCACAGGCUGAGUCAGACCCAGGGAGAGACUCACAGGAAUGGCCCCGUCUGCGGGGAAGGCCAAGGUCUUCAUUUUGGUAAGGUCCUGGAAGGGCUCCUCCUGAUUUUCCUGGGGUCUCCGGUGCACUCAUUGGGUUUUAAAUCUUAAGGCUAAUGAUCUCAUGACACUAAGUGCUAAAAACGCUUAACGCUAAAGAUCCCAGGAUGCUAUCCCAAGUGCUAAGCAUCCCAGGACAAUGCACAGUCCCGCUCUCACCGGGUCAGCCCACCUUUCUAUAGCCUCACCCUUAGAUAUCUGCUCUACUCAAGCCAUUCUAAACAUAGCCUAUGUGUCCACAUCUUCAUUCUUUCUUUUGCUAUUCCCUCUGCUGGGAAUAUUUUUCCCUCUUUAACUAGAAAACUUGUACUUGACUUUAAAUAUGGAUUUUAAAUGCCUGCUUCUUUUCACAGCCUCCCCUGGCCCUUUCCUCCCUGACCCCCUUACCAGUUUUCCCGCAGAACUACACUUAUGGCACUUCUUGGCCCUUCCUGUGUUGAAUCCUAGCUAUCUGGGAUCAUGUUUUCUCUAUGGCUACACUGAAAAUCUCUCCAGGACAGUGGCUCAAUCAUAUUCACCUUUGUACCCAAAGUAGCUAGCUCGAGUCCUGGCACACAGAGGGGAAAAACAGAAGUACCAGCUUAAAUCAAAUAGAAAUAGGUCUGCUUAAGGAAAACUUUGUUCCAAAUUCCCAAGUGGACAGCCAUCAAAGGUGUUCCUUUCUAAGAGGAGAUCCAAGGCCUCGUUAUAGAUGGAUGGUGAAGUGUCACUUUACAAGCUGCUGCUGUGAACAGACCUCCAUGAAUACCUGAAUGCACACGAGUGUGCACAGACACACACACACACAGAAGCUGAAAGGAGCUGGAUGCUCUCUGGUGAGGUGCAGCAAGGAAGAUAAGAUCACCCCGCUGCAGAGGAAGGUCCCAGGACUACAGAAUGUGAUGACUGUGGUGGCCUGCAGGGCAUUUAGAUUCCAAACAUGACAGACUCAAAGGCUUGGUAUUGAAUCUCAGUUCUGCAUUAGUCAGUGCUCUUUGGCUUGGGGUCUUAAGUCCCUGGAAACUAGGCACCUCGUGCUGCUUAAGUCCCUCCGGAUUGUAGUACUUUAUAGGUAUUACAUAAAUAUUCGUUGAUCAACUGAUUGUGAAGAUCGCCGCCAUUUUUCGAGGCAACAGGCUCCUGUCAUGGUGGCUUCUCCCCCACACCAUCAUGUCCUUAGGAUUUUGGAAAACUCAUCCAAGAAGGGCUUGUGCUAAUGUGAUAUCACAGGGAAACAUCCCACCUCUUUUUGGAAUGCAGAUAUAGAUUGCUCCAGAUUGCAUGCACACUAAUUAGAGCCACUGGUAAUUUGACUGCUGCACUGAAGUCCCAAAGUACUCACUGAAGGCACCUUUGUCCUUGCACAUGAGAGCUUUUGUCCCUAUGUGUCAAAAUGGCCAAACUGUCUUUUGAUGGUGCUGCUGGUAUCCAGAGCCUGGAUGUCAGGGUCGAGGUACCUGCCCACUGAAUCCACCAUCAGAAGGGAACUCAGUGCCAUCCUUUUUCCUGAAAGCAGUGUUGUACAGAUCACUGGCUCUAAGUAGGAUAUUCUAAUAAAUGUUGCUGUUAUUUUUACUGUCUUGUGCAGUGUUGAAUAAGCUUCUCAUAAGCUGGCCUUUAUGUAACCACCAUGACCUACAUUUUUAAUUCAGAUCUUUAUUUUCUGUUUCAUAAACCCUUUUAAUUUAAUAUCACUGUAAAAAAUCUAAAUGGAUAUACAUAGUGUUCUUUUUGUACUAAGCUUUUUGGGCUAGACUUUUAUGGUUAAUAUCAGGGACUGGGUGGUCACUGUGAGAGCACAAGAGAGCAUGGGAGUGCCUGGUAUAGCUUGCCCUAGCAACUGAUACCCUCUCAUUGCUUCAUUGAAUUUUUUUUGUUCUUGACCUCUGCCCUUGUUUUCAGUAAUAUUGGUAUAAUGAGUUGAAUAAAUGGCUCUGUCUAUAAAGAAAUGGGAAAAGUCUGGUUUUGGCUAAAAUGCCCUCAGGGGAUUAAAGUAAUGAAGGGUAGACAAAGAGGCACACCUAAGGACCAAUCAAAUGGAUAGAGAUUUCUGUUCCUUGGAGGUUCCAGCCAGGGAAGAGUCCACUCAGAAUGGACCUAGCCCCACCGGCCCUACCAGGGGACACAAUCCUUUCUAGUAUCUAUUCUUUUCU